rnacentral:lncRNA from 1 species
GAGGAGGAGGCCCGAAAGGCAGAAGACUGUGUCUGAGGAGGCUCUGCAGGAGAAUGGUGGGAAGGGAAGGACAGGAGGAAGAGAUGAAGGAUUGCAGAGAAGAAAACAGAGAAGAGAAGGAAACGAGAGAGGCAUGAAUAUGGAUGAAACUCCUCACCGAGACCACAAGGGACAGUUCCGAGCACCAUGGUCAGAAUCCAGAUGUGCCUGUUCCGGGCCCCAGUGAAUGCCCAGCUUCUGUUCUCUACAGUAUGAGGUCUCCUACCUCUCACUUAAAAGAUGGUACUGCAGGCCAGGAAGAGCAAGUCUCCAUCACUGUAGUGGCUCUAGGCCAAAUCUCCAAAUGAAAUCAGGCUGGGGAGAAAUGAACAAGUGAGAUGCAGAAAACAAUGUGAAGAAGAAACUCUGAAGAUUCGAAUAAUAAUAGAAAAAAAAGGCUGUCCUCUUCUCUCUGUGGGCUAAGGGGACAGGUCCUGGAGCAAAGCCGAGCCCAGAGUCUGCUGCACCGCGCAGCAGAGCACAUUCAUGAGGAAAGAGUGUGUCUUCUUCAGGGUGGCCGCUCCAAAUUCUCCAGGAUAUAGAUUCAGGAGGGGCUCCGGCCAUUGUUGAGAGUAAAAGCAUUGCUAUUUGCUGCUGUUCCAGGGAACCCUCUCAAGGGAGAGUGUGAAGGUCUUGCCUAGAGGUAUUUCUGCUGCUCUCUCCUUCUGUCACCUCCUACUCAAGGCAUGCACACACUCACACAUGCAAUAUGCACAAACACAUGUGUAAGGUCUUCAAACAUAUCCACGCACAUAUACCCAUACCCCCUGUCUUAGUCAGGGUUUCUAUUCCUGCACAACAUCAUGACCAAGAAGCAAGUUGGGGAGGAAAGGGUUUAUUCAGCUUACAUUUCCACACUGUUGUUCAUCACCAAGGAAGUCAGGACUGGAACUCAAGCAGGUCAGGAAGCAGGAGCUGAUGCAGAGGCCAUGGAGGGAUGUUCUUUACUGGCUUGCUUCUCCUGGCUUGCCCUGCCUGCUCUCUUAUAGAACCAAGACUACCAGCCCAGUGAUGGUUCCACCCACAAGGGGCCUUUCCCCCUUGAUCACUAAUUGAGGAAAUGCCUUACAGUUGGAUCUCAUGGAGGCAUUUCCUCAACUGAAGCUCCUUUCUCUGUGAUAACUCCAGCUGUGUCAAGUUGACACAAAACUAGCCAGUACAGCCCCCUUAAACACUCAAACUCCCCUGUGUGUGUACAUACUUUAAAUGCAUCCAUAUAAGCACAAGCAUGUAGCUUUUAACACAUAUGGAUGCAAGUACUUUAAAUACAUCCACACAGAUGCACACACAUGCACAUUUCACAAACAUACAAUUACAUGCGUAUACCUCUAAAGAGACCCAACCAUGUGUGUGCAUGCACGAACACAUACACACAUUGGGAUACAUGCAUAUGUGUGUGUGCUGAUACAUCUCAAUCAUAUGCACAUGCAUAUACCUCACAAACACAUGCAUGCAUUGGUACAUAUAUGUGUGUGUAGCUCAAGUGAGACCCAAUCAUACACAUAAAAAUCUUUAAGGUGCCCAAACAUGUAUUGACACAUAUUAAUCACACCCUCAUAGUCACUCAUAUGUGCCCAGUACAUGCAUAUUCUUCUGCAGGGGUGCCUUUCAAGGCAAUGCUGAUACUCUUUGGGUAGCCAGUGUCCACUCUCAGUGUCUCCCCAAGGAUGGGGUGGGGUGCUUGGGAGUCUGAAUCCCUACUGAUCUUUUUUUUUUUUUUUUUUGAGACAGGGUUUCUCUGUAUAGCCCUGGCUGUCCUGGAACUCACUCUGUAGACCAGGCUGGCCUCGAACUCAGAAAUCUGCCAGCCUCUGCCUCCUGAGUGCUGGGAUUAAAGGCAUGCGCCACCACUGCCUGGCUCCCUACUGACUUUUGCAAUAAAUGUAUCAACAUUGGGUUUCACUCCCCCACCCCAUGUGAUUCUUUGCUGAGAAGGUGAGUGACAGAUGCCUUACUCCAAGUUCCCUGUGGUUCCAGCAGGACCAGUUGUGCUGGGCUCUCUGGGUCCAUCCCUGCAGCUUAUCUUUGGUACUUUGCGGGUUCUUUUCUCUUCUACCCUUCCCUACCCAUUUUCUUUCAUCUUUUCAACCCCCU